GACGACUAUAUUUGGCACUGGGGCAUGUAAGUACACUGGGGACAUAUGUGGCACUGGGAGCACAGCCCUAGCAACAAGGACUACCUCCUAGCAACGAGCAUGACACCCAGUGCAUGAAACACCUGGCAACGAGCAUGACACCCAGUGCAUGAAACACCUGGCAACGAGCAUGACACCCAGUGCAUGAAACCCCUGGCAACGAGCAUGACACCCUGAGCAUGAAAACCCCUGGCACCGUGCAUGGAACCAAGAGCAUGAAACCCCUGGCAACGAGCAUGACACCCAGUGCAUGAAACCCCUGACAACGAGCAGCUACCAUAGUUACCGGAGCGACGACGGGGUGAAGCGCACUGCAGUUGUUGCAGAGUGAUGGCGUUACCUUUCCCCGUCGGCGUGACUGAGCAGAUGGGUGAGCGCACGUGAAAGGGUGAAGGUAUAAAGACCCUCAUCGUGAAACAUCUUAAAGGGAAACCUCGCCUCCCCAUGCUGGAAGUCAGGAUUACCCAGAAACCUCAGAAACAAGGAUUUAUGUCUCCCCAAGUUUCCGGAUCUUCUCAAGGAGUGCCAAAGGCGAUAGACCGACCACAGAAGGGGAUUAUCUUGUAGAUCCCGAUCGCAGUCUGCCUCCAUACAGUGGAGGAAGUUUGUCAAGUUUUUAGAUUUUAUGAAUUGUGUCUCAAGAUGUGUAUUUGCAUAAGUGUCUGUGUCGUUUAACCAGUCUCUCAAGAACCUCAAUAAAGAUGCUUGGUUAUAAAGCAAAACAUUCGGGAAAUUAAUUCCGCCAUUAGAUUUUGGUUGUUGUAACUUAUGCAUGGCAAUACGAGCUCUCUUGCCUUUCCAGAUAAACUGCCGGAACAGUUUAGUUAUAAGGGACAGAUCUGAUCUACUAAGCAAUAUUGGGAGGGAUUGCAAAAUGUAUAAUAA